rnacentral:rRNA from 1 species
AAUAGAUACCCCGGUAGUCCUAGCCGUAAACGAUGAACACUAGGCGUAGUCGGUAUCGACCCCGGCUGUGCCGUAGCUAACGCAUUAAGUGUUCCGCCUGGGGAGUACGGCCGCAAGGCUAAAACUCAAAGGAAUUGACGGGGGCCCGCACAAGCAGCGGAGCGUGUGGUUUAAUUCGUCGCAACGCGAAGAACCUUACCAGGGCUUGACAUGUGGCGGAAAACGGCGGAAACGUCGUCCUCCCGCAAGGGACCGUCAUGCAGGUGUUGCAUGGCUAUCGUCAGCUCGUGUCGUGAGAUGUUGGGUUAAGUCCCGCAACGAGCGCAACCCCCGUGGCAUGUUGUAUCUCUCAUGCCAGACUGCCGAGAGAAACUCGGAGGAAGGUGGGGAUGACGCCAAGUCAGCAUGGCCCUUACGUCCUGGGGCUACACACACGCUACAAUGGCCGGUACAACGGGUUGCCAAACCGCGAGGUGGAGCUAAUCCCUUAAAGCCGGUCUCAGUUCGGAUUGCAGGCUGCAACUCGCCUGCAUGAAGGCC